GGGCCUGUAGCUCAGUUUGGUAGAGCGUUCGGCUCUUAACCGAAAUGUCCCGCGUUCAAAUCGCGGCAGGCCCG
rnacentral:tRNA from 1 species